rnacentral:rRNA from 1 species
UACGAAUGUGGCAAGCGUUGUUCGGAAUCACUGGGCGUAAAGAAUGCGUAGGCGGCUUAACAAGUCAGGAGUGAAAUCCUCGGGCUCAACCUGAGAACUGCUUCUGAAACUGUUUUGCUAGAGUCCCGGAGGGGUUAGCGGAAUUCCGAGUGUAGAGGUGAAAUUCGCAGAUAUUCGGAGGAACACCAGUGGCGAAGGCGGCUAACUGGACGGGAACUGACGCUGAGGCAUGAAAGUGUGGGGAUCAAACAGG